UACGAGGGGGGCGAGCGUUGUUCGGAAUUAUUGGGCGUAAAGGGUGCGUAGGCGGUUUGGUAAGUCUUGUGUGAAAUCUACAGGCUCAACUUGUAGUCUGCACGAGAAACUGCCGGGCUUGAGUAUGGGAGAGGUGAGUGGAAUUCCUGGUGUAGCGGUGAAAUGCGUAGAUAUCAGGAGGAACACCUGUGGCGAAAGCGGCUCACUGGACCAUAACUGACGCUGAGGAGCGAAAGCGUGGGGAGCGAACAGG
rnacentral:rRNA from 1 species